UUUUUUUUUCUGGAUAGAGAUUGUUCUCCCCUUGAGCUGUUGCUGGAAGGGGUCAUUGGAAGGGGAAAACAACAACCCUGAUGGAAACUAAUGACUGUAUCUUUUCCAUUUCCCAUGAAAGUAAGAAAUUGUAAGUUUCAGAAGUCAUGUUUGCAAACUAGGUCUGGAGGAUUGAAUAAUUAUCUAGCAGCAAUUCUAGCUCCAGAUUAGAUACAUGGGGAAAUGAUUUCCUUUGCCCUGGAGAUGAAGCUGUAUGCACACCAACUUUAGCACACACUGAAUACUGGAAUUUUUCAAGGUAGAUUUGAAGCCUUUUUUUCAAAAUGCGACUGAAUUCCCCAUUGUCUCUCUUGAUCUAUGUGUCAGUCUAUCUUAAACAGUGUGG
rnacentral:lncRNA from 1 species